AGACCCGAAACCCGGUGAUCUAGCCAUGGGCAGGUUGAAGGUUGGGUAACACUAACUGGAGGACCGAACCGACUAAUGUUGAAAAAUUAGCGGAUGACCUGUGGCUGGGGGUGAAAGGCCAAUCAAACCGGGAGAUAGCUGGUUCUCCCCGAAAGCUAUUUAGGUAGCGCCUCGUGAAUUCAUCUCCGGGGGUAGAGCACUGUUUCGGCUAGGGGGCCAUCCCGGCUUACCAACCCGAUGCAAACUGCGAAUACCGGAGAAUGUUAUCACGGGAGACACACGGCGGGUGCUAACGUCCGUCGUGAAGAGGGAAACAACCCAGACCGCCAGCUAAGGUCCCAAAGUCAUGGUUAAGUGGGAAACGAUGUGGGAAGGCCCAGACAGCCAGGAUGUUGGCUUAGAAGCAGCCAUCAUUUAAAGAAAGCGUAAUAGCUCACUGGUCGAGUCGGCCUGCGCGGAAGAUGUAACGGGGCUAAACCAUGCACCGAAGCUGCGGCAGCGAACGUAUCACCCAAGACAACUUUACGGAGUUGACGAUUGACGGAGCGAAGCGACGUCAAAGCGUUCAUUAAAGUCGAGUUGGCUUAGGGAUACGUUCGUUGGGUAGGGGAGCGUUCUGUAAGCCUGUGAAGGUGUGUCGUGAGGCAUGCUGGAGGUAUCAGAAGUGCGAAUGCUGACAUAAGUAACGAUAAAGCGGGUGAAAAGCCCGCUCGCCGGAAGACCAAGGGUUCCUGUCCAACGUUAAUCGGGGCAGGGUGAGUCGACCCCUAAGGCGAGGCCGAAAGGCGUAGUCGAUGGGAAACGGGUUAAUAUUCCCGUACUUGGUGUUACUGCGAAGGGGGGACGGAGAAGGCUAUGUUGGCCGGGCGACGGUUGUCCCGGUUUAAGCGUGUAGGUGUGUGUUCCAGGUAAAUCCGGUUCACUUUAACACUGAGGCGUGACGACGAGGCACUACGGUGCUGAAGCAACAAAUGCCCUGCUUCCAGGAAAAGCCUCUAAGCAUCAGGUAACAUCAAAUCGUACCCCAAACCGACACAGGUGGUCAGGUAGAGAAUACCAAGGCGCUUGAGAGAACUCGGGUGAAGGAACUAGGCAAAAUGGUGCCGUAACUUCGGGAGAAGGCACGCUGACACGUAGGUGAAGUGAUUUACUCAUGGAGCUGAAGUCAGUCGAAGAUACCAGCUGGCUGCAACUGUUUAUUAAAAACACAGCACUGUGCAAACACGAAAGUGGACGUAUACGGUGUGACGCCUGCCCGGUGCCGGAAGGUUAAUUGAUGGGGUCAGCGCAAGCG
rnacentral:rRNA from 1 species